rnacentral:rRNA from 1 species
UACGAAGGGGGCUAGCGUUGUUCGGAAUUACUGGGCGUAAAGCGCACGUAGGCGGAUUUGUAAGUCAGGGGUGAAAUCCCGGGGCUCAACCUCGGAACUGCCUUUGAUACUGCAAGUCUCGAGUCCGGAAGAGGUGAGUGGAAUUCCUAGUGUAGAGGUGAAAAUUCGUAGAUAUUAGGAAGAACACCAGUGGCGAAGGCGGCUCACUGGUCCGGUACUGACGCUGAGGUGCGAAAGCGUGGGGAGCAAACAGGG